rnacentral:rRNA from 1 species
GUGCCAGCCGCGCGGUAAUACGGAGGGUGCAAGCGUUGUCCGGAAUCACUGGGCGUAAAGGGUGCGCAGGCGGGGCAGCAAGUCGGAGGUGAAACCCCAUGGCUCAACCAUGGAGGUGCAUUCGAAACUGUUGCUCUUGAGUCCCGGAGAGGCUGUCGGAAUUCGGGGUGUAGCGGUGAAAUGCGUAGAUAUCACGAGGAACACCAGAGGCGAAAGCGGGCAGCUGGACGGGUACUGACGCUCAGGCACGAAAGCGUGGGGAGCAAACAGGAUUAGAAACCCCUGUAGUCC